rnacentral:rRNA from 1 species
AGUAACGGCGAGUGAAGCGGCAAGAGCUCAAAUUUGAAAUCUGGCCUCCCCCGGGGGCCCGAGUUGUAAUUUGCAGAGGAUGCUUCGGGUGCGGCCGCCGUCUAAGUUCCUUGGAACAGGACGUCAGAGAGGGUGAGAAUCCCGUCUUGGGCGGGCGGUCCGCGCCCGUGUGAAGCUCCUUCGACGAGUCGAGUUGUUUGGGAAUGCAGCUCUAAGCGGGUGGUAAAUUUCAUCUAAAGCUAAAUAUUGGCCGGAGACCGAUAGCGCACAAGUAGAGUGAUCGAAAGGUUAAAAGCACCUUGAAAAGGGAGUUAAACAGCACGUGAAAUUGUUGAAAGGGAAGCGCUUGCGGCCAGACUCGGGGGCGGGGUUCAGCGGGUGCUCGUCGCCCGUGUAUUCCUCGUUUCCCGGGCCAGCAUCAGUUUCGACGGCCGGUCAAAGGCCCCCGGAAUGUGUCGUCUCUCGGGACGUCUUAUAGCCGGGGGUGCAAUGCGGCCCGUCGGGACUGAGGAACGCGCUUCGGCUCGGAUGCUGGCGUAAUGGCCGUAAGCGGCCCGUCUUGAAACACGGACCAAGGAGUCUAACAUCCACGCGAGUGUUCGGGUGUCAAACCCGUGCGCGCAGUGAAAGCGAACGGAGGUGGGAGCCUUAGGGCGCACCAUCGACCGAUCCUGAAGUCUUCGGAUGGAUUUGAGUAGGAGCGUGGCCGUUGGGACCCGAAAGAUGGUGAACUAUGCCUGAAUAGGGUGAAGCCAGAGGAAACUCUGGUGGAGGCUCGCAGCGGUUCUGACGUGCAAAUCGAUCGUCAAAUUU